rnacentral:rRNA from 1 species
AGCGAACGCUGGCGGCAGGCUUAACACAUGCAAGUCGAACGGUCGUAGCAAUACGGCAGUGGCAGACGGGUGAGUAACACGUGGGAAUGUACCUUUCGGUUCGGAAUAACUCGGGGAAACCCGUGCUAAUACCGGAUACGCCCUUACGGGGAAAGAUUUAUCGCCGAGAGAUCAGCCCGCGUCCGAUUAGCUAGUUGGUGAGGUAUGGCCCACCGAAGGCGACGAUCGGUAGCUGGUCUGAGAGGAUGAUCAGCCACACUGGGACUGAGACACGGCCCAGACUCCUACGGGAGGCAGCAGUGGGGAAUAUUGGAC